rnacentral:rRNA from 1 species
AAGUCUGGUGCCAGCAGCCGCGGUAAUUCCAGCUCCAAUAGCGUAUAUUAAAGUUGUUGCAGUUAAAAAGCUCGUAGUUGAAUUUCGGGGUUAGUAGGUUGGUCAUGCCUCUGGUAUGUACUGGUCUCACUGAUUCCUCCUUCCUGAUGAACCGUAAUGCCAUUAAUUUGGUGUUGCGGGGAAUUUGGACUGUUACUUUGAAAAAAUUAGAGUGUUUAAAGCAAGCUAACGCUUGAAUACAUUAGCAUGGAAUAAUGAAAUAGGACGUUCGAUCUUAUUUUGUUGGUUUCUAGGAUUGACGUAAUGAUUAAUAGGGAUAGUUGGGGGCAUUAGUAUUCAAUUGUCAGAGGUGAAAUUCUUGGAUUUAUUGAAGACUAACUACUGCGAAAGCAUUUGCCAAGGAUGUUUUCAUUAAUCAAGAACGAAAGUUAGGGGAUCGAAGACGAUCAGAUACCGUCGUAGUCUUAACCAUAAACUAUGCCGACUAGGGAUCGGAUGAUGUUAAUUUUUUAAUGACUCAUUCGGCGCCUUACGGGAAACCAAAGUGUUUGGGU